UGGGGAAUAUUGCACAAUGGGGGAAACCCUGAUGCAGCCAUGCCGCGUGUGUGAAGAAGGCCUUCGGGUUGUAAAGCACUUUCAGCGAGGAGGAAAGGUUGAUGCCUAAUACGCAUCAGCUGUGACGUUACUCGCAGAAGAAGCACCGGCUAACUCCGUGCCAGCAGCCGCGGUAAUACGGAGGGUGCAAGCGUUAAUCGGAAUUACUGGGCGUAAAGCGCACGCAGGCGGUUGGAUAAGUUAGAUGUGAAAGCCCCGGGCUCAACCUGGGAAUUGCAUUUAAAACUGUCCAGCUAGAGUCUUGUAGAGGGGGGUAGAAUUCCAGGUGUAGCGGUGAAAUGCGUAGAGAUCUGGAGGAAUACCGGUGGCGAAGGCGGCCCCCUGGACAAAGACUGACGCUCAGGUGCGAAAGCGUGGGGAGCAAACA
rnacentral:rRNA from 2 species